CUGAUGUGUGAAAAAGAUUACUUGCCUUCUUGUAAUUCUGUUCUUGUUGAUACGGGAUGUGGGAUGGCUCUGGGACUGCAGGGCUCAGAUGGUGAGCAUCCCUGCCUUCCAGAAACACACAACUCUUGAAUGGUCCAUUUUGUGUCUCUGUUCCUCCAAAUUAAUGAUCUGAUAGCCAUGCUGCUACAUAGCUAGUGUAUUAGCGUGGAACAGUUCAGAUUCAUCUGGCACAAACUGACUAGUUUUAAUAUACGUGACAUCAGAAUUGCCACAUGGCAAAGCAGAGAUCUACCGAGCCCGGUAUUGUCUCCAGAAGUGGUAGUAAUGAGUACUUAGAGCAAGAGAUGUAACAAGACUGCAGUGAUAUUUUUCUCUUCCCAGCAAGAUCUCCUUGCUACUUGCCGGAAUCUGUGCAAGGAUGUCCUAAGCUAGAAACUGCAGCUGGACCAGGAACUCUUGUAGUGAUUGGAUUUUAUUUAUGAAGCGUGCAAUGAAUUAUUAAAACAAAAAAAUCUGUUAAUGCUUUCGCCCUCCCAUUUAAUUAGUCACUGUGAGAAAGUGCUCGUUUCUGUUUUAAGCCUGCUUCUUGAUGUCAUUUUUUAAUGAUCUAUAUCUUUUUUUUACAUUCCUGCCUUUAUCACAGUUCUCUAGGCCUCCUAUGUCUGUGCCUUACUUUUUCCCUGUAUGACUGCUUUCGCACUUCUGAUAAUCUUCAUUACUCUUCUCUAUUUGUCUCUUCAGAGAUGGGGUGACCAAACUCUACCCAAGUUGUAAAUAUGAAGUGGUAUGACAGUUGUAUUUUGAUCUGUUUUCCAUGGCUUUCCUAAUGAGUCCUAAAGCUCUCUUCAUUUUCGUGGCUUCUGAGCACGGAGUUGAUAUUUUCAGAGGACUAUCGAAAAUAAUGCCAAGGUGUUUUACUUCCUAGCCAAGAGGUUUGUAACAAUGACUUAACAGCCACUUCUUGUCCUGUGUAUGGUUAGGGUUAUUUCUAUUUUUUUAUGUUACUUUUCAUCUAUUUGUAGUGAAUUUCAUCUGUAGAUUUACUACACAUUCACUAUGGUGA